rnacentral:sRNA from 1 species
AAAAGUUAUUUUAUCUUAAUUUGUGUGCAAAACUCAAAACAUCAAUCAAACUUCAUGUAACAGAGAGAAUAUCUAAUAUAUACGAUCACACUCGUUAGGUUGGUUCCUUAAUUCUUACGCAUAAUCAAUAAGUGGUCGGACGACGCAUGAGACGUACGAAAUUAAAAUGAAUUUCUAUGUAAAAACCUAGUAAUUCGUUGAAAUGAGUGAGUGAUUUGGUAC